ensembl:misc_RNA Metazoa_SRP Metazoan signal recognition particle RNA
GUUUGUGUCCCAGCUACUCCAGGAGGCUGAGGUGGGAAAAUCGCUUGAGCCCAGGAGUUCUGGGCUGUAGUGCGCUAUACCGACGGGGUGUCCGCACUAAGUGUGGCAUCAAUAUGGUGACAUCCCGGGAGCGGGGGACCACCAGGUUGCCUAAGGAGGAGUGAACCAGCCCAGGUCAUAAACGGAGCACUUCAAAACUCCCAUGCUGAUCAGUAGUGGGAUUACGCCUGUGACUAGCCACUGCACUCCAGCCUGGGCAACAUAGUGAGACCCUGUCUCUU